rnacentral:lncRNA from 1 species
UUCUUUCUAUGCAUUUUCUCUCUUGAAUCUGCCAUUAGACAUCCUAUCUAAUGUACGUUCAGUCUGCAGCCAAAGUAUAAUAUAUAUGAGGAGGAUGACAAGUGGUAGUAUAUGUAAUAUAAGCUGGGCCUCAUGCUGCUUCUGCUAUACGAGUUAGCACCGACUUCGGAGCGGCGUGUCACCUUUGGGAUGAAGUUCAUCUAAGUUCCUUGGCAAGGAGGGC